ACAGACAACAUACCCUGGUUAAUUACAUGAUAAUUAGUCAUGCAUAAAUCUUGCAACCCAGAUAGUUCCAUAACAUCAUGAAACCAUAUCUCUUUAGGCAACAUGGUUGAUGCAUUUUAAAGUCUCACGAUAUAGUAAAAAAAUACAACAUCCUCUGAAAGUUCAAAUAUUGUAACACAUACGUUUGAAAGAAUAAAUACAAAU
rnacentral:lncRNA from 1 species